UACGUAGGUGGCAAGCGUUGUCCGGAUUUAUUGGGCGUAAAGCGCGCGCAGGUGGUUCGUUGCGUCCGAGGUGAAAUCUCCCGGCUCAACUGGGAGGGGUCUUCGGAUACGGGCGGACUAGAGGAGAGCAGAGGUAGGCGGAAUGCUGGGUGUAGUGGUGAAAUGCGUAGAGAUGCGGAGGAACACCGAUGGCGAAGGCAGCCCCCUGGGCCGACAUUGACGCUCAGGCACGAAAGCGUGGGGAGCAAACAGG
rnacentral:rRNA from 1 species